rnacentral:lncRNA from 1 species
AUUAUCGCUAAUCCCUGAUGUCAUCCCACUAAUUAAUUUUUAUCAAUUUAAUGGUUAUGAAAUUAUAUCUCAUGGAGAUUUUGAUUUUUCUUUCUCUGAUUAUUCAUGAUAUUGAGAAUAUUUUUAUAUUUUUAUCAACUGUUUACACUCCUUCCGUGAAUUGUCUGUUCAUAUCUUUUUCCCAUUUCUCUUUCAGCUUGCGUGUCUUUUUCUUCUUACUGAUUUUUAAAAUAUAGGUUGCAAAAUAUGUCCCUGUCUGUAUCACUUUUCACUUUAUUUAUGAUGUCUUUUCAUGAAAAUUGCUUUUCAUUUAAAGUGUUCAAAUUUAUCAAUCUUUUCUUUUAUGGUUUCUGCUUAUUGUAGCCUGUAAAGAAAUGCUUCUUCAAAAAAAUGCCAUAAAAGUAUUUUCUAAUUAUUCUCUAAUGUUUUCUUUUAAAAGAUUUACAGCUUCUCUUUUCAUGUUAUUUUUAAAAUUUAUUUUUGCAUAAAAUAUAAUAUGGGAAUCUGUUUUUAGCUUGUCCCUGUGCCAAGUAUCAGCUAAUAUUUUUUAAUUUUUUUUAUGGGGAGGAUUGGCCCUGAGUUAACAUCUGUUGCUAAUCUUCCUCUUUUUGCUUGAGGAAGAUUGUGGCUGAGCUAACAUCUGUGCCAAUCUUCCUCUAGUUCAUGUGGGAUGUUGCCACAACGUAGCUUGACAAGCAGUGCUAGGUCUGCACCUGGGAUCCGAACCUGCAAACCCCAGGCCACCGAAGUGGAGCAUGCAAACUUAACCGCUAUGCAACCAGGCUGGCCCAAGUAUCAAAUAAUUUAUCCUUCGCCCUAUUAUUUGCAAGUCUCCUUUCUCAUAGAAGGGCUAAAGCUCCUAUGAAAAGCUAAAGGCCUAAGCUUCUAAAUAUGCAUGGUUUUCUUUCUAGGUCUCUAUCCUUAUAGACUUAUACCAAUACCAUUCUGUCUUAUAUAACGUAAUUUUAAAUUCGAUAAGUAGUAUCGUAGGCAUCUUAAUCCCUGCAACCAGUGACUGCGUUACCUGACAUGGCAAAAGGAACUUGGCAGAUAUGAUUAAAUUAAGUCCGGUGACAUGGGGAAGAGUAUCCUGGAUUAGCCAGGUGGGUCCAAUGUAAUCCACAAAUCCUCAAAAGAGGAGAACCAUUCCCAGCUGAGAGCAGAGUGAGACGGAGACCUGACAGCAGAAGACUGGUAAGACCCAUGCAACACUGUUGGCUUAGAAGAUGGAGGAAGGAAGCCAUGAGCCAGGAAUGCCAGCAGCCUCUAGAAGCCGGAAAAGGCAAGAAAACUUCUCCUCCAGAACCUCCGGAAAUGAAUACUGCUGUGCUGACACCAUGGUUUAAGCCUGGUGUGAUCUGUGAAGGUUCCAAUCUACAAAAAUACUUGAACGGAUACAUUGGCUCGUCCUGAGUUUCGAGCCUGCUGACCUUUGGACUGCAACUACAGCAUCAGCUCUUCUGGGUCUCAAGCCUUUGGACUCAGACUGGAACUCAACCAUCAGCUCUCCUGGGUCUCCAGCUUGCCACUCACCCUGCGGAUCUUGGGAUUUGCCCCAGCCAUAAUUGUGGAACCAGUUACUUAAUAUAUAUAUAAAUGUAUAUACACACACAUACACACAUCCUAUUGGUUCUAUUUCUCUGGGGAACCUUAACUAAUACACAUGGCAUAUUUCUCUAAUUAUUUGAGUCAUCUUUUCCAAUUUUUAUCCAUGUCACAAUCCCCAUCCUGGAUUAAGGAAUUAAAAUGGCAGCUGGACAGCUCUUCAGAAACCACCAACAUUUAGCGAAUGUAACGAACUUUUCUAUCCAUGAUGGCAAUUAAAUCUGUAAAAUAUAUAGAAAUAACUUUCUCAAAAAUAUGAUAUUUAUAUGUAAGAAACUACAUCUACUGAAACAUAAAAGAAACUUGGAAUAAUUGGAAAGACAUACAUAUCACUCUGGGAACUGAAGGAUGAAUAUCAUAAUAGUGUCACUGCUUCCAAAACUACUUUAUACUUUUUCAAGCCAUUAAAAACCCAAUCCAGAAAGUGACAACACUUUUCAUUACUUGGCCAAGGGGAGGGGACAGUUUCAGAAGCUUCCAUGUGGUGUUUGUCACUGUGCUAUCCCUUAUCCCACAGGUCAACAAAUCCGUGAGAAGGUUCUGCCAAUU